UAAGAGUUAGUUUAAUUAAAGAAUUGUUGACUGUUAAUCAAAAGGUAUACCUCUUAA
rnacentral:tRNA from 5 species